rnacentral:rRNA from 1 species
UACGUAGGCAGCGAGCGUUGUUCGGAAUUAUUGGGCGUAAAGAGUGUGUAGGCGGUGCUCUAAGUUCGGUGUGAAAUCUCCUGGCUCAACUGGGAGGGUGCGCCGGAAACUGGAGUGCUUGAGCGUGGGAGAGGAAAGCGGAAUUCCUGGUGUAGCGGUGAAAUGCGUAGAUAUCAGGAGGAACACCUGUGGUGUAGACGGCUUUCUGGACCAUAGCUGACGCUGAGACACGAAAGCGUGGGUAGCAAACAGG